AACGCGUGGGUAACCUACCUCUUAGCGGGGGACAACUAUUGGAAACGAUAGCUAAUACCGCAUAGCAAUAUUAAACACAUGUUUAACAUUUGAAAGUACCAAUUGGUACACUAGGAGAUGGACCCGCGUUGUAUUAGCUAGUUGGUAGUGUAAUGGACUACCAAGGCGAUGAUACAUAGCCGACCUGAGAGGGUGAUCGGCCACAUUGGGACUGAGACACGGCCCAAACUCCUACGGGAGGCAGCAGUAGGAAAUCUUCGGCAAUGACGAAAGUCUGACCGAGCAACGCCGCGUGAGUGAAGAAGGUUUUCGGAUCGUAAAACUCUGUUGUUAGAGAAGAACGUUGUGUAGAGUGGAAAAUUACACAAGUGACGGUAUCUAACCAGAAAGGGACGGCUAACUACGUGCCAGCAGCCGCGGUAAUACGUAGGUCCCGGGCGUUGUCCGGAUUUAUUGGGCGUAAAGCGAGCGCAGGUGGUUUAAUAAGUCUGAUGUAAAAGGCAGUGGCUCAACCAUUGUGUGCAUUAGAAACUGUUAGACUUGAGUGCAGUAGAGGAGAGUGGAAUUCCAUGUGUAGCGGUGAAAUGCGUAGAUAUAUGGAGGAACACCGGUG
rnacentral:rRNA from 1 species